rfam:Oryza sativa Japonica Group DNA, chromosome 3, cultivar: Nipponbare, complete sequence.
AAAAAGGUAAACCCUGAGUUUCCGUGUCAAUGUUUGACUGUCCGUUUUAUAUGAAAUUUUUUUAUAAUUAGUAUUUUCAUUGUUGUUAGAUGAUAAAACAUGAUUAAUACUUUAUGCUUUAUGCGUGACUUAUCUUUUUAAUUUUUUUUCAUAAUUUUUUCAAAUAAGACGGACGAUUAAACAUUAGACACGGAAACCAGGGUUUGUCUUUUU